rnacentral:rRNA from 1 species
CGAGCACGCGCGUGUGGCAUAUCAAUAAGCGGAGGAAAAGAAACUAACAAGGAUUCCCUUAGUAACGGCGAGUGAAGCGGGAAGAGCUCAAAUUUGAAAUCUUCAAGGUUCUACCUUGACGAAUUGUAGUUUAUAGAAGUGUUUUCUGUUAGUGGAGUGGCAAAAGUUCUUUGGAAUGGGACAUCAUAGAGGGUGAGAAUCCCGUAUUUGGUCAUUCCUCCUAGCGUUGUGAUACACUUUCAACGAGUCGGAUUGUUUGGGAAUGCAGUCCAAAAUGGGUGGUAAAUUUCAUCUAAAGCUAAAUAUUGGCGAGAGACCGAUAGCGAACAAGUACCGUGAGGGAAAGAUGAAAAGAACUUUGAAAAGAGAGUUAAACAGUACGUGAAAUUGUCAAAAGGGAAGCGUUUGACACCAGUGUUGUUUUUCCGAAAAUCAAUUACGAAUGUUUUGUUUUUAAGGAGUUAUGACUUCAUCGGCUUGCUUCUCUCUUUAUGAAACCUUCUUAAUGCACUUUUCGGUUAACAAGUCAACAUCAAUUUCUUUUGUUGUAAAAGGGUAUGAGGAAGGUGGCUUUCUUUUCGGAGAAAGUGUUUAUAGCCUUGUGCCUCUGCAAUCGGAGAGAUUGAGGUCUGCAGCGUAGAUCCUUCGGGGUUAGAUACGUUUGUGCUAAGUUAUAGCUUUUCAUAGACAACUUGUUGACUAUGUUUAGUCUUGUAGCUUACUCGCCGACGCUAUUUUACCUACGCUUAGGAUGUUGAGUAGCGACAUACGCAC